rnacentral:rRNA from 1 species
UUAAGCGACUAAGCGUACACGGUGGAUGCCCUGGCAGUCAGAGGCGAUGAAGGACGUGCUAAUCUGCGAUAAGCGUCGGUGAGGUGAUAUGAACCGUUAUAACCGGCGAUUUCCGAAUGGGGAAACCCAGUGUGUUUCGACACACUAUCAUUAACUGAAUCCAUAGGUUAAUGAGGCGAACCGGGGGAACUGAAACAUCUAAGUACCCCGAGGAAAAGAAAUCAACCGAGAUUCCCCCAGUAGCGGCGAGCGAACGGGGAGGAGCCCAGAGCCUGAAUCAGUGUGUGUGUUAGUGGAAGCGUCUGGAAAGGCGCGCGAUACAGGGUGACAGCCCCGUACACAAAAAUGCACAUAUUGUGAGCUCGAUGAGUAGGGCGGGACACGUGGUAUCCUGUCUGAAUAUGGGGGGACCAUCCUCCAAGGCUAAAUACUCCUGACUGACCGAUAGUGAACCAGUACCGUGAGGGAAAGGCGAAAAGAACCCCGGCGAGGGGAGUGAAAAAGAACCUGAAACCGUGUACGUACAAGCAGUGGGAGCCUCUUAAUGGGGUGACUGCGUACCUUUGUAUAAUGGGUCAGCGACUUAUAUUCUGUAGCAAGGUUAACCGAAUAGGGGAGCCGAAGGGAAACCGAGUCUUAACUGGGCGUUAAGUUGCAGGGUAUAGACCCGAAACCCGGUGAUCUAGCCAUGGGCAGGUUGAAGGUUGGGUAACACUAACUGGAGGACCGAACCGACUAAUGUUGAAAAAUUAGCGGAUGACUUGUGGCUGGGGGUGAAAGGCCAAUCAAACCGGGAGAUAGCUGGUUCUCCCCGAAAGCUAUUUAGGUAGCGCCUCGUGAAUUCAUCUCCGGGGGUAGAGCACUGUUUCGGCAAGGGGGUCAUCCCGACUUACCAACCCGAUGCAAACUGCGAAUACCGGAGAAUGUUAUCACGGGAGACACACGGCGGGUGCUAACGUCCGUCGUGAAGAGGGAAACAACCCAGACCGCCAGCUAAGGUCCCAAAGUCAUGGUUAAGUGGGAAACGAUGUGGGAAGGCCCAGACAGCCAGGAUGUUGGCUUAGAAGCAGCCAUCAUUUAAAGAAAGCGUAAUAGCUCACUGGUCGAGUCGGCCUGCGCGGAAGAUGUAACGGGGCUAAACCAUGCACCGAAGCUGCGGCAGCGACACUAUGUGUUGUUGGGUAGGGGAGCGUUCUGUAAGCCUGUGAAGGUGUACUGUGAGGUAUGCUGGAGGUAUCAGAAGUGCGAAUGCUGACAUAAGUAACGAUAAAGCGGGUGAAAAGCCCGCUCGCCGGAAGACCAAGGGUUCCUGUCCAACGUUAAUCGGGGCAGGGUGAGUCGACCCCUAAGGCGAGGCCGAAAGGCGUAGUCGAUGGGAAACAGGUUAAUAUUCCUGUACUUGGUGUUACUGCGAAGGGGGGACGGAGAAGGCUAUGUUGGCCGGGCGACGGUUGUCCCGGUUUAAGCGUGUAGGCUGGUUUUCCGUGCAAAUCCGGAAAAUCAAGGCUGAGGCGUGAUGACGAGGCACUACGGUGCUGAAGCGACAAAUGCCCUGCUUCCAGGAAAAGCCUCUAAGCAUCAGGUAACAUCAAAUCGUACCCCAAACCGACACAGGUGGUCAGGUAGAGAAUACCAAGGCGCUUGAGAGAACUCGGGUGAAGGAACUAGGCAAAAUGGUGCCGUAACUUCGGGAGAAGGCACGCUGAUAUGUAGGUGAAGCGACUUGCUCGUGGAGCUGAAAUCAGUCGAAGAUACCAGCUGGCUGCAACUGUUUAUUAAAAACACAGCACUGUGCAAACACGAAAGUGGACGUAUACGGUGUGACGCCUGCCCGGUGCCGGAAGGUUAAUUGAUGGGGUUAGCGGUAACGCGAAGCUCUUGAUCGAAGCCCGGUAAACGGCGGCCGUAACUAUAACGGUCCUAAGGUAGCGAAAUUCCUUGUCGGGUAAGUUCCGACCUGCACGAAUGGCGUAAUGAUGGCGAGGCUGUCUCCACCCGAGACUCAGUGAAAUUGAACUCGCUGUGAAGAUGCAGUGUACCCGCGGCAAGACGGAAAGACCCCGUGAACCUUUACUAUAGCUUGACACUGAACAUUGAGCCUUGAUGUGUAGGAUAGGUGGGAGGCUUUGAAGUGUGGACGCCAGUCUGCAUGGAGCCGACCUUGAAAUACCACCCUUUAAUGUUUGAUGUUCUAACGUGGGCCCCUUACCGGGGUUGCGGACAGUGUCUGGUGGGUAGUUUGACUGGGGCGGUCCUCCUAAAGAGUAACGGAGGAGCACGAAGGUUGGCUAAUCUGGUCGGACAUCAGGAGGUUAGUGCAAUGGCAUAAGCCAGCUUGACUGCGAGCGUGACGGCGCGAGCAGGUGCGAAAGCAGGUCAUAGUGAUCCGGUGGUUCUGAAUGGAAGGGCCAUCGCUCAACGGAUAAAAGGUACUCCGGGGAUAACAGGCUGAUACCGCCCAAGAGUUCAUAUCGACGGCGGUGUUUGGCACCUCGAUGUCGGCUCAUCACAUCCUGGGGCUGAAGUAGGUCCCAAGGGUAUGGCUGUUCGCCAUUUAAAGUGGUACGCGAGCUGGGUUUAGAACGUCGUGAGACAGUUCGGUCCCUAUCUGCCGUGGGCGCUGGAGAACUGAGGGGGGCUGCUCCUAGUACGAGAGGACCGGAGUGGACGCAUCACUGGUGUUCGGGUUGUCAUGCCAAUGGCACUGCCCGGUAGCUAAAUGCGGAAGAGAUAAGUGCUGAAAGCAUCUAAGCACGAAACUUGCCCCGAGAUGAGUUCUCCCUGACUCCUUGAGAGUCCUGAAGGAACGUUGAAGACGACGACGUUGAUAGGCCGGGUGUGUAAGCGCAGCGAUGCGUUGAGCUAACCGGUACUAAUGAACCGUGAGGCUUAACCU